rnacentral:rRNA from 1 species
UGGCUCAGGAUGAACGCUGGCGGCGUGCCUAACACAUGCAAGUCGAGCGGAGAUAUUGAGGGAUUUUUUUAGAUGAUCUCCUUAUCUUAGCGGCGGAUGGGUGAGUAACACGUGGGUAACCUGCCCUGCACAGGGGGAUAACAGCUGGAAACGGCUGUUAAUACCGCAUAUGCACACGCUGCCGCAUGGCAGAGGGUGGAAAGAUUUAUCGGUGCAGGAUGGGCCCGCGUCGGAUUAACUAGUUGGCAGGGUAACGGCCUACCAAGGUUAUGAUCCGUAGCCGACCUGAGAGGGUGACCGGCCACAUUGGGACUGAGACACGGCCCAAACUCCUACGGGAGGCAGCAGUGGGGGAUAUUGCACAAUGGGCGGAAGCCUGAUGCAGCGACGCCGCGUGAAGGAAGAAGUAUUUCGGUAUGUAAACUUCUAUCAGCGGGGAAGAAGAUGACGGUACCCGACUAAGAAGCCCCGGCUAACUACGUGCCAGCAGCCGCGGUAAUACGUAGGGGGCAAGCGUUAUCCGGAUUUACUGGGUGUAAAGGGAGCGUAGACGGCAGGGCAAGUCCGAUGUGAAAACCCGGGGCUCAACCGCGGGAUUGCAUUGGAAACUGCUCGGCUCGAGUACUGGAGGGGUAAGCGGAAUUCCUAGUGUAGCGGUGAAAUGGGUAGAUAUUAGGAGGAACACCGGCGGGGAAGGCGGCUUA